GGCUAUGUAGUUUAGAUAAGACGUCAGGCUGCAAUCCUGAAGAUGUAAUUGUACCUUAGCUU
rnacentral:tRNA from 1 species